rnacentral:rRNA from 1 species
UACGGAGGAUUCAAGCGUUAUCCGGAUUUAUUGGGUUUAAAGGGUGCGUAGGCGGUCUGUUAAGUCAGCGGUCAAAGCCCGGGGCUCAACCCCGGCCCGCCGUUGAAACUGGCAGUCUCGAGUUGGAGAGAAGUAUGCGGAAUGCGCGGUGUAGCGGUGAAAUGCAUAGAUAUCGCGCAGAACCCCGAUUGCGAAGGCAGCAUGCCGGCUUCCGACUGACGCUGAAGCACGAAAGCGUGGGGAUCGAACAGG